UUCAGAGCCUAACAAAUCAUUGAGCAUCAAGUACUCUUAUUCCAACGAAAGUGCACGUUCAGAAUGAAGAACCACUUCAACGCCCUGACCCUGUAUUUGUUAAUCAUCGCCACAUGCUACAUAAGCUACACCGAAGCAGCCACAUGCUCUCCUUUUAGCGGGCCAAAUGGAGCCACAGAAUGUGUCCAGCUGUCAGGGUACAACGACUACCAAUGGGCUACUUGUCGCACAAACUCGUACUUGGCACAAAAGUCGAACGGCAGGCACUACUGCAGAAUCAAAUCGGAUACAUAUUGCCUCUAUCAGUGUAUGUUGUAUAAGUAUGAAUUAGACAGAGGUGACGUUAAUAGUAGCUGCCGAUGCAGUUCUCCGAAUUCAGCGUCGCAAAAAGAAAUAUAUACUUUUGCAUAUGUUGUUCUUUUGGCCGCAGUCAGCUCUUUGUUGGUAUCAUAAAUCACUAUAAACUGACUUUUAGAGAGGACUUUUAGUAACCAAGUAACUUUCCAUAUGCCCUGAAGUGUUGUCACAAUAAUUUUGGUGCACACUAUUAGAUUAUAUUUUUAGAUUUUAGUACUUUAGUAUUAAGUUAGCAUUUUGGUUUUAUGCUUACGAUCAUCAGUGUGAUGAUUAAGAUUCUGUUAUAAUAACUGGGUUAUGAUCAGGGUUAAGGUUAGAAUAAGUAAUCACUAGUAUACAAUUAAUGGAUAAUCAUGUUUUAUAUCAUAAUAGUAAUACAGUAAAAGCACUUCAAUAAAAUGCUGGUAUAUAUAUACAG